rnacentral:ncRNA from 1 species
CAGAGCUUUGGAGAAUCUCCUUAAAUUGAGUGCCGAAGGUGAAAGCGCAAGGGCGCGAAUCUCUCAGGCAAAAGGACAAAG